CAGCAGCCGCGGUAAUACAGAGGGUGCGAGCGUUAAUCGGAUUUACUGGGCGUAAAGCGUGCGUAGGCGGCUUCUUAAGUCGGAUGUGAAAUCCCUGAGCUUACUUAGGAAUUGCAUUCGAUACUGGGAAGCUAGAGUAUGGGAGAGGAUGGUAGAAUUCCAGGUGUAGCGGUGAAAUGCGUAGAGAUCUGGAGGAAUACCGAUGGCGAAGGCAGCCAUCUGGCCUAAUACUGACGCUGAGGUACGAAAGCAUGGGGAGCAAACAGGAUUAGAUACCCGCGUAGUCCCUGUCUCUUAUACA
rnacentral:rRNA from 1 species